UACGAGGGGGGCGAGCGUUGUUCGGAAUUAUUGGGCGUAAAGAGCUCGUAGGCGGUUUGUCGCGUCUGCUGUGAAAACUCGGGGCUUAACUCCGGGCCUGCAGUGGGUACGGGCAGACUAGAGUGCGGUAGGGGAGACUGGAAUUCCUGGUGUAGCGGUGAAAUGCGCAGAUAUCAGGAGGAACACCGGUGGCGAAGGCGGGUCUCUGGGCCGUAACUGACGCUGAGGAGCGAAAGCGUGGGGAGCGAACAGG
rnacentral:rRNA from 1 species